rnacentral:misc_RNA from 1 species
UUUCCGUAGGUGAACCUGCGGAGGGAUCAUUAGUGAAUUGACAAUGUUAAAGGACAUCUUCAGAGUCACUAGAAUCAAAUCAUAUCCAUAACACCUGUGCACUGUAAGCCUGUCUUGGAACCGAACGUGCUUACAGCGGCUGCACCUUUUAUACAAACAGUAUAGUACCAAACGUGGUCUUAUAAUAAUCGAAUAUAACUCUCAACAACUGAUCUCUUGGCUCUCGAAGCGAUAAAAAACUCAACAAAUCGGAACAUCACACUUCUAACGUCCAAGAAC